AGAGUUUGAUCAUGGCUCAGGACGAACGCUGGCGGCGUGCCUAAUACAUGCAAGUCGAGCGAGCUUGCCUAGAUGAUUUUAGUGCUUGCACUAAAUGAAACUAGAUACAAGCGAGCGGCGGACGGGUGAGUAACACGUGGGUAACCUGCCCAAGAGACUGGGAUAACACCUGGAAACAGAUGCUAAUACCGGAUAACAACACUAGACGCAUGUCUAGAGUUUGAAAGAUGGUUCUGCUAUCACUCUUGGAUGGACCUGCGGUGCAUUAGCUAGUUGGUAAGGUAACGGCCUACCAAGGCAAUGAUGCAUAGCCGAGUUGAGAGACUGAUCGGCCACAUUGGGACUGAGACACGGCCCAAACUCCUACGGGAGGCAGCAGUAGGGAAUCUUCCACAAUGGACGAAAGUCUGAUGGAGCAACGCCGCGUGAGUGAAGAAGGGUUUCGGCUCGUAAAGCUCUGUUGGUAGUGAAGAAAGAUAGAGGUAGUAACUGGCCUUUAUUUGACGGUAAUUACUUAGAAAGUCACGGCUAACUACGUGCCAGCAGCCGCGGUAAUACGUAGGUGGCAAGCGUUGUCCGGAUUUAUUGGGCGUAAAGCGAGUGCAGGCGGUUCAAUAAGUCUGAUGUGAAAGCCUUCGGCUCAACCGGAGAAUUGCAUCAGAAACUGUUGAACUUGAGUGCAGAAGAGGAGAGUGGAACUCCAUGUGUAGCGGUGGAAUGCGUAGAUAUAUGGAAGAACACCAGUGGCGAAGGUGGCUCUCUGGUCUGCAACUGACGCUGAGGCUCGAAAGCAUGGGUAGCGAACAGGAUUAGAUACCCUGGUAGUCCAUGCCGUAAACGAUGAGUGCUAAGUGUUGGGAGGUUUCCGCCUCUCAGUGCUGCAGCU
rnacentral:rRNA from 1 species